rnacentral:rRNA from 1 species
AACGAACGCUGGCGGCAUGCCUAACACAUGCAAGUCGAACGAGACCUUCGGGUCUAGUGGCGCACGGGUGCGUAACGCCUGGUAACCUGCCCUUAGGUUCGGAAUAACUCCCCGAAAGGGGUGCUAAUACCGGAUAAUGUCUUCGGACCAAAGAUUUAUCGCCUUUGGAUGGGCCCGCGUUGGAUUAGCUGGUUGGUAGGGUAAAAGCCUACCAAGGCGACGAUCCAUAGCUGGUCUGAGAGGAUGGUCAGCCACACUGGGACUGAGACACGGCCCAGACUCGUACGGGAGGCGGCAGGGGGGAAUAUUGAACAAUGGGCGAAGGCCGGAUCCAGCAAUGCCGCGUGAGAGAUGAAGGCCUUAGGGUAGUAAAGCCCUUUUACCCGGGAUGAUAAGGACAGUACGGGGAGAAUAAGCUACGGCUAACUCCGUG